AGAUUGAACGCUGGCGGCAGGCUUAACACAUGCAAGUCGAGCGGGCGAGGUUGCUUCGGUAACUGAGCUAGCGGCGGACGGGUGAGUAAUGCUUAGGAAUCUGCCUAUUAGUGGGGGACAACAUUCCGAAAGGAAUGCUAAUACCGCAUACGCCCUACGGGGGAAAGCAGGGGAUCUUCGGACCUUGCGCUAAUAGAUGAGCCUAAGUCAGAUUAGCUAGUUGGUGGGGUAAAGGCCUACCAAGGCGACGAUCUGUAGCGGGUCUGAGAGGAUGAUCCGCCACACUGGGACUGAGACACGGCCCACACUCCUACGGGAGGCAGCAGUGGGGAAUAUUGGACAAUGGGCGCAAGCCUGAUCCAGCCAUGCCGCGUGUGUGAAGAAGGCCUUUUGGUUGUAAAGCACUUUAAGCGAGGAGGAGGCUACUUGGAUUAAUACUCUAGGAUAGUGGACGUUACUCGCAGAAUAAGCACCGGCUAACUCUGUGCCAGCAGCCGCGGUAAUACAGAGGGUGCGAGCGUUAAUCGGAUUUACUGGGCGUAAAGCGUGCGUAGGCGGCUUCUUAAGUCGGAUGUGAAAUCCCUGAGCUUAACUUAGGAAUUGCAUUCGAUACUGGGAAGCUAGAGUAUGGGAGAGGAUGGUAGAAUUCCAGGUGUAGCGGUGAAAUGCGUAGAGAUCUGGAGGAAUACCGAUGGCGAAGGCAGCCAUCUGGCCUAAUACUGACGCUGAGGUACGAAAGCAUGGGGAGCAAACAGGAUUAGAUA
rnacentral:rRNA from 1 species